rnacentral:lncRNA from 1 species
UCCUAAUUACAUGAAAAUUUACACUUAAAGAGCAGGGUAUUCAAAAUAAAUUAAUCUUGAUAUUUAAAAGUUAAUUCAAUUUAUAACACAACCAGGAAUACCAGUCGUCUUCAUGUGACCAAUAGGAAAAUCCAAGCUAAAGCACAUGUCUGCAUCCUGAAGCAAUAAGAUUUUACUAAUAGCAUUAAUGCAUUUAGUAAAUGUGAAAUCUCUAACAUAAAUAACCUUUACCUGAUAUAUGUUUCCUUGAUUUUGCUGGAAAUUCUCCACAUAUUUACCUUCAGAUUCUACGGGUUCUGCAAGUGUGGACUUCGGUUGCCCAACAGAUUCUCGCAUGGAAUGGUGGUCACAGGCCACACUAUAGGAAUUGGAGACACAAGGUUGAAGAUAUGGGUGCUCCAUAUCAAGGUUUGAAUCAGCAUCCAGAGCCACAAGCUCGAGAGGAGGAGCAUGCAGGGUAGCAUCAGAAGUUUUGGGGGCUGUGGAGUUAACCUUAACAGGUUUUGCACGAGCUUUAGGUCGGAAUUUGCCCAAUUUUCGGUCUGCUAGGAUCCACAGUAGCACUUCAGCAUUGAAAAUAACAAGACAAAUUUGAGCAAAUAAAAAAGUUUGGAGAUAGCAAUAACCUGGGGAAGAAGCUGGGUGAUGAAAAAUGUCAUCGGCAGGAUCCAAUUCAUCAAACAUAGCUUCUGCAUGAAGGUUGUCCCAAAUCAUACCAUAAGGAAUUCUUAUAAUAUCAUAAACUCUGCAAUUAAUUGGGACAAAACUUAUAUUCUGCACAACAAAUUAUCGAUCAUAAAGCCUCAACCAAAUGUAAGACGAGUAUAUGCCAAGCCCUAACCCGUUAAACAAAGAUUGAGAAACCAAGAAUAUUGCUGUACUUGUACAAAAAUAAAUGAAUAAUUUUUCUUCCGCAGGUGCAGGGGGUGAAUGAGUAGAAAGAAGAGGACUUUAGUUUUCAUUUGCAUUAUUGUGUUUUAAAGGUGUAACUUUAGUCUUGUGUUAACAUUCCAUACUGAUGCCAAGAGUUAGUCUGAUAGGGUUUAGGGGUUUAGGGUUUAUGGUUUAGGGAUUUGGGGUUUAACAUUUAGGGUUUAUGGUUUAGGUUUUAGUUAUACCUUUAUAUUAAUGCUAAUUCACAAACUUUUCAUGUCGUCUUGUGGUUAUUUUUUUUGGAAAAAUUUGUUGAUUGUAUGUAGGUAUUGUGGAACUCUUUGUGCUUGGACUCCAUACUGCAUUAUUUUUGUAAGUUUUCAUUUGCAUUUUUUUGUUUUAAAUGUGUAACAUCAGUCUUGUUUUAACAUUCCAUAAUGAUGGCGAGUUGGUGUAAUAGGGUUUAGGGAUUUAAGGGGUUAGGAGGUUAGGGGUUUAGGGGUUAGGGGUUAGUGGUUUAAGCUUUACGAUUUUAGGGCUUGAGGGUUUUAGGAGUUAAAGGUUUAGGGGUUUUCAGUUUAAAGGUUUAGGGUUGAGAGAGUAGUGCACCUGUGAGAGCUCGCGUGGGUGGUGAUAUUUAUAUGCCAACAUGGGGAGGUUGGCAAGACGAGGGGAUAAAAAAUUAGUACAGGAUUAAGUAAGUUGUAAAUUGUAAGCAUGUGAGUGUGAGAGAAUGGAACUUCUUCUAUGCUAAACUAGAAGUGCUACAUUAUAUCUCACACCGACAUAUUAAUCAAUCAUUAUAUACAAUGAAUACAUUAUAUAUUUAUAAACUAAGCAAAUACUGUUCUUUUAUUUUAAAAUCAUUAUUUUGACCAAAACCCAAUAAAAUUUUAUUUAUUAGGGGUCGGGUCACCUUGUAGUUGGAUCGUAACAAGUUUGACUAGUCUCGAUCCGAUUUAGAUCGCUCUAAUUGGACUGACUCUUAUUUCGAUUAGUACGUCAGACUUGACCCGUAUCUAGCUUAUAUCGGACAAGACCUCGGACCAAAUCAGGUUGGAUCCGAUCCAUUCAUAGGUUAUUCCGCCUCUUGUCCUCGUCACCACUUCUCUCCACUUGUCUACCCUACAAGCGAAGAAUUCAAGAACUUGAUACUUUUCCUUCGGUCGAUUCCCUCGCCUCCUUUUCUUCCAUUGCUAAACAGAGAAAGGAUAUAUUAUUAUUUCAAAACCCUAAUUUUGGUCAUCUUAGUCGAAGCUCCGGUGGUCAUGGCUUGCCGUCUCUCUCGGUAAGUCUUCUGCCCUCAUUCUGUUGUUGUUAUUGUUCCAUCUCAAUGUACGUACAGUAGUGUAAAGAAAUCUUUCUUUAAUAUUUAUCAUUGAAUUCUUCCUUUGGUUUUGGAUCUCUCCUUCAGAGACUAAACAUGCAGAACUUGUCGAACGAUUAACUUGCUCGUGCCUUUGUUCCGAACUAUAGGUGAUCAAAUUCAAUCUUCAAUUUUUGGCCCUACUUCUUGGUUAACAUUCCUUUUCCUCUUUUCUUUUGCUUGAGAGACCACUUUCUACGUACUUGUUCGCUCUAUUGCUUUGUUUCCACUCUUUCAUGCUAACCACAGUGAGCGACGAGGUAAUUGAGUCGGCGGCAAAGCGUAGGGGAGGAGAUUGUUGGAGGCAUUUGGCAUAACCGUUGUGGUCCUUCAAUUUUGUUUCCUCAUCCUCUUACCCUCCUUUUUUCUCCUCUUGUUGUUUUUCAUCUUCUCCCUUUGUUUUUAUAAAUCCAUUUUCUUCAUAUUUCUCUGAUGUGAUCAGUUAAUCCCUAGAAACUAUGGUUUAUGUGUUGGACCUAGCAGAUUCUGAAGACAAUGAUAUUCUCUUGCAUGCUCGAAAAUUUUAGGGUUUCAACAUCAUCCUCCGCCCAAUGCUUUAUUCUAAUAAUAUUAUUUAAAUAAUAUUAGAAUAUAUAAAUAAUUAAAAUUUUAAAAAU